GACAGAGGUCCCAAGCGUUAGGCGGAAUCACUGGGCUUAAAGCGUGUGUAGGCGGAUUUGUAAGUACCUUGUGAAAUCCCACGGCUCAACCGUGGAACUGCUUGGUAUACUGCUUAUCUUGGGCCAUCUAGGGGCGAGCGGAACAAACGGUGGAGCGGUGAGAUGCGUAGAUAUCGUUUGGAACGCCAAUGGUGAAAACAGCUCGCUGGGGAUGUGCCGACGCUGAGAUACGAAAGCCAGGGGAGCGAACGGG
rnacentral:rRNA from 1 species